AUUGAACGCUGGCGGCAUGCCUUACACAUGCAAGUCGAACGGCAGCACGGGUGCUUGCACCUGGUGGCGAGUGGCGAACGGGUGAGUAAUACAUCGGAACGUACCUUAUCGUGGGGGAUAACGCAGCGAAAGCUGUGCUAAUACCGCAUACGCCCUGAGGGGGAAAGCGGGGAUCGCAAGACCUCGCGCGAUUAGAGCGGCCGAUGCCUGAUUAGCUUGUUGGUGGGGUAAAAGCCCACCAAGGCGACGAUCAGUAGCUGGUCUGAGAGGACGAUCAGCCACACUGGGACUGAGACACGGCCCAGACUCCUACGGGAGGCAGCAGUGGGGAAUUUUGGACGAUGGGGGCAACCCUGAUCCAGCAAUGCCGCGUGAGUGAAGAAGGCCUUCGGGUUGUAAAGCUCUUUUGUCAGGGAAGAAACACCGGCUCUAACACAGUCCGGGAAUGACGGUACCUGAAGAAUAAGCACCGGCUAACUACGUGCCAGCCGCCGCGGUAA
rnacentral:rRNA from 1 species